UUUGACUCAACACGGGAAAACUCACCCGGCCCGGACACUGUAAGGAUUGACAGAUUGAGAGCUCUUUCUUGAUUCGGUGGUUGGUGGUGCAUGGCCGUUCUUAGUUGGUGGAGUGAUUUGUCUGGUCAAUUCUGAUAACGAACGAGACUCUAGCCUGCUAAAUAGUGCGCCGAUCGGUUCUGCCGGUCGAGCGGUUACUUCUUAGAGGGACAAGGGCCUCUAAGGCCCACGAGAAUGAGCAAUAACAGGUCUGUGAUGCCCUUAGAUGUCCGGGGCCGCACGCGCGCUACACUGAGGGGAUCAAUGUGUGUAUGUCCUGACCCGUUAGGGUUGGGUAACCCGUUGAACCUCCCUCGUGCUUGGGAUCGGGGCUUGAAAUUCUUCCCCGUCAACGAG
rnacentral:rRNA from 1 species